rnacentral:rRNA from 1 species
GACGAACGCUGGCGGCGUGCUUAACACAUGCAAGUCGAACGGUGAAGCGCCUUCCUUUUUGGUGGGUGUGGAUGAGUGGCGAACGGGUGAGUAACACGUGAGUAACCUGCCCCCUUCUUCUGGAUAACCGCAUGAAAGUGUGGCUAAUACGGGAUACUCUGGGUCUGUCGCAUGAUGGGUCUGGGAAAGAUAUUGUUUCGGAGGGGGAUGGGCUCGCGGCCUAUCAGCUUGUUGGUGGGGUGAUGGCCUACCAAGGCGGUGACGGGUAGCCGGCCUGAGAGGGUGGGCGGUAACACUGGGACUGAGACGCGGCGCAGACUCCGAGGGGAGGCAGCAGUGGGUAAUAUUGCACAAGGGGCGCAAGGCUGAUGCAGCGACGCGGCGGGAGGGAUGGAGUCCUUCGGGUUGUGAACCUCUGUCGCCAGUGAAGCAGGCCUGCCUCGUAUGUGGGUGGGUUGACGGUAGCUGGAUAAGAAGCGCCGGCUAACUACGUG